UACGGAGGGGGCUAGCGUUGUUCGGAAUUACUGGGCGUAAAGCGCGCGUAGGCGGACCUGCAAGUCGGGGGUGAAAGCCCGAGGCUCAACCUCGGAACUGCCUUCGAUACUGCGGGUCUCGAGUCCGGGAGAGGUGAGUGGAAUUCCUAGUGUAGAGGUGAAAUUCGUAGAUAUUCGCAAGAACACCAGUGGCGAAGGCGGCUCACUGGCUCGGUACUGACGCUGAGGUGCGAAAGCGUGGGGAGCAAACAGG
rnacentral:rRNA from 1 species